rnacentral:rRNA from 1 species
AUUGACCGCUGGCGGCAGGCCUAACACAUGCAAGUCGAGCGAGCGGCGGACGGGUGAGUAAUGUCUGGGAAACUGCCCGAUGGAGGGGGAUAACUACUGGAAACGGUAGCUAAUACCGCAUACCAUCGGAUGUGCCCAGAUGGGCUUAGCUAGUAGGUGAGGGAACGGCUCACCUAGGCGACGAUCCCUAGCUGGUCUGAGAGGAUGACCAGCAAGACUGGAACUGAGACACGGGCGAGAAUGCGACGGGAGGCAGCGGUGGGGAAGAUUGAACAAUGGGCGCAAGCCUGAUUCAGCCAGGCAGCGGAUGUGAAGAAGGCCUUCGGGUUGUAAAGUACUUUCAGCGGGGAGGCGUUACCCGCAGAAGAAGCACAGGCUAACUCCGUGCCAGCAGCCGCGGUAAUUC